rnacentral:rRNA from 1 species
GAUGAACGCUGGCGGCGUGCCUAAUACAUGCAAGUCGAGCGAACAGACGAGGAGCUUGCUCCUCUGACGUUAGCGGCGGACGGGUGAGUAACACGUGGAUAACCUACCUAUAAGACUGGGAUAACUUCGGGAAACCGGAGCUAAUACCGGAUAAUAUAUUGAACCGCAUGGUUCAAUAGUGAAAGGCGGUUUUGCUGUCACUUAUAGAUGGAUCCGCGCCGCAUUAGCUAGUUGGUAAGGUAACGGCCUACCAAGGCAACGAUGCGUAGCCGACCUGAGAGGGUGAUCGGCCACACUGGAACUGAGACACGGUCCAGACUCCUACGGGAGGCAGCAGUAGGGAAUCUUCCGCAAUGGGCGAAAGCCUGACGGAGCAACGCCGCGUGAGUGAUGAAGGUCUUCGGAUCGUAAAACUCUGUUAUUAGGGAAGAACAAAUGUGUAAGUAACUAUGCACGUCUUGACGGUACCUAAUCAGAAAGCCACGGCUAACUACGUG